rnacentral:rRNA from 1 species
CCUACGCGAGGCUGCAGUGGGGGAUAUUGCACAAUGGGGGGAACCCUGAUGCAGCGACGCCGCGUGGGUGAAGGAGUGCUUCGGCAUGUACAGCCCUAUCGGCAGGGAAGAAGCCAGAUGGUACCUGACUAAGAAGCCCCGGCUAACUACGUGCCAGCAGCCGCGGUAAUACGUAGGGGGCGAGCGUUAUCCGGAUUCACUGGGGGUAAAGGGAGCGUAGACGGCCAUGCAAGCCAGGGGGGAAAGCCCGGGGCCCAACCCCGGGACUGCCCUUGGAACUGUGCGGCUAGAGUGCGGGAGGGGCAGGCGGAAUUCCUGGUGUAGCGGUGAAAUGCGUAGAUAUCAGGAGGAACACCGGCGGCGAAGGCGGCCUGCUGGACUGCGACUGACGUUGAGGCUCGAAAGCGUGGGGAGCGAACAGGAUUAGAGACCCCAGUAGUC